rnacentral:rRNA from 1 species
UACGGAGGGGACUAGCGUUGUUCGGAAUUACUGGGCGUAAAGCGCACGUAGGCGGAUUUGUAAGUCAGGGGUGAAAUCCCCAGGCUCAACCUGGGAACUGCGUCUGAUACUGGAUGGCUUGAAUUCGGGAGAGGGAUGCAGAAUUCCAGGUGUAGCGGUGAAAUGCGUAGAUAUCUGGAGGAAUACCGGUGGCGAAGGCGGCAUCCUGGACCGACAUUGACGCUGAACGGCGAAAGCUAGG